ACCUCCAGCAGUUCUUCUUCUUUUCUUUUUCUCUUAUCUUUUCUGCAGCAGCGGGGGAAUGAGUCGCCUCGGCGUCAGCCUCCGCUGCCUCUACGCUCACCACGUCCAGCUCCUCGGAGCCGGGAGGACGUGAGCGCGGCGUCUCGUCCGCGGUGGAGGAAGCCGCGGAGCCUGCCUCUGACGCCGGAAACGAGCACCUGGAUCCCGCGGUGAAGGGCCGGGAAAAGGCCUCAGCUCUCCCGGAAUCCUCCGCGAGAUCCAUUUGUGAUCCCUAUGAAAACAUCCGGCGCUCUGCCUCAGCACGAGCUGGGCCGAAGCUGCGGGGAGCACGCCUCAUCGAGCCGCUCCUCAGUGAAGAGAGCUCGACGGGAAAGACGAGAUUGCCACGACAGCUGAGCUGAAAUUGAAGGGGCCGCCACCUUAACUGCACAGCUCAGCUAGCCCCCUCAAGUGUGCUCCACGCCUAGGCAGACAACACACAAGGCGUGUGAGUCAUUGCCCGUAAUAAAACGGGUGCAAGGGGGGACACACUGGACAAACCGCUCAGCCAUUACUAGGUGGAAAAACUUCACUACCGCACUAGAUGAAGGCACAGAGAUGAAUGGUCCUGCCUUUCGGGUCCCUUUAUAGCGCCCUGGUCCCGGCGUCCAGUAAAACACAAUCAUUCCUGGUGACCUCAGUGCCUGUGUGAGUAUAACUUAUUCUCACUUACCUACACAUGUACAUAAUAUAUCUUAGCACAAGCACAUAUGCCCGUUCAAUAACAAAGAUUAGAAAAUCAAAUGAAUAGAUAAUGCAAUAUAGGUGUCCAUUUCCUGUAGCAUCUUAAUCCUGUAGACCCAACACAUAUCUAAACUCUGUAGGGAUCAAAAACACAGGUAGUACACGCCCUGCAAACCCCAUGACCCAGGUCAUCAAAUGCAGUGCAGAGACAUGUAUAUGCAUCAUGUCAUAGAAAGAGAACUCAAUUGCAACACAAUAAAUGCACACCUUCACAUACUGUAUGUGCAAUAGGAAUGACACACCAGAAGAGGGCUGCAUUUCCCCCAAGGUUCACCCUGGUCGGGUCUGUACAACUUUUACCCCAUGAAUGUUUCAUUUACAUUUUUGUGUGCUGUUUCUCAAGGUCACGGGGUUCUCACGUUACCCCCUGGCCCUUCUGCAAGAGUAGACAAUAGUGUUACUCAAAGAUACAUUUACAUUUAUUUAUUUGUAUUUUUUCUACUCAGUGAAUGAAGGCGCAUGUGACCCAUAAACUACUUUCGCCGCUCGACUAGCUCUGCCAUGCCAUGGCCAAUUGAGCAUCAAAGUCAAAUAAUGUUUUUAAUCCAACCCAAACCCCAAUAAAAGAAAUUUUCUAUUUGAAGCAUCCGUGUAGAUAUUAUUCUCCAAAUGGAUUCAUGGACAGUGUUUCCUGGCAGAGAAAUGGCAAUUUUAUCCUAGGAGAAGGCAGACUGCAAUUUCUCCUUUGUACCAUGCACAUUUAUAGGCAGUGAUUGGACACAGAAUCACCUUUGACAAAUCAACACUUGAAUCGCCUCGAAGAUUAUACAGAGGCGUGAGGGUCAUUGAUAUACCGUUAAACACAAAAUUUGAUAAGAAAACAGCAAAGGUGAGAUAUUAAUAGGUGAAAAUAUAAAGAUGUCUCACCGCCCCACUCCCUCCAUGACUAAUUAGAAUUCAUCCGCCACACUUGAGAUAUGUCUGUCACUGGCUGAGGCCCAAGGUAUUCAAGCGUUGCAGGAUUGGUUGUGCUGUACUGCUCACUGAAACAAAAAGAAAGUCGGUUUUAAGUAUAUGAAGAAAAUGAAAUUGCCCUCAUUCAAAAUUGGUGAGUGACGGAAUCUAAAAAAAUCUAGAAAAUCACAUUGUACGAUUUAAAAAAUAUAUAUUUUGCAUGACAUAAGUAUAUGAUGACCUACUAACCAGUAAGAACUCAGAUUUUCACAGACCUGUUUGUCUUUAGUCGUUACCUUUAUAAAAGACACCUGUCCACAAACUCAAACAGACUCCAUCCUCUCCACAACGGCUAAGACCAGAGUGCUGUGUACAAUAGGCAAGCAGCUUGGUGACAAGGCAACAAGACAACAGCAGCGCAAUUAUUAGAAAAUGGAAGAAGUUCAAGAUGACGGUCAAUCUCACUCGGUCUGGGGCAUCAAUGAUCGUGAGGAAGGUGAGGGCUCAGCCCAGAACUAUACGGCAGGACCUGUUCAAGGACCUGAAGAGAGCUGAGACCACAGAAAACCAUCAGUAACACACUCCGUUGUCGUGGAUUAAAAUCCUGCAGUGCAUGGAAGGUCCCCCUGCUCAAGACAGCGCAUGUCUAGGCCCAUCUGAAGAUAGUCAUGACCAUCUGGAUGAAUAGUCAUGAAUAGACCUUGAUCUGUGAAUAAGUCAUUUUAAAGGGGUUAAGACUGACUUGCCUAUGAAAUCCAUCUCGUAUAGAUAUUGUGACACAAGGUCCUGAGCCGUUGUCAGCGUCGCCCUGGAAACAGAGCAGACACACCUGCACCUGCUCAUCACGGGCUGAGCGGCCACACCUGCGUGCCAUCAGGCGCGGGCUUGAUAAGCCUCAGUGGCACACACCGGGGGGGAGGAAGAUGUCCCGCAGGACCCGAGUAACAAGGCUUGUGUUAUUUCCCCCCAGAGAGCAGUGGGUGACCGCCAUCCCUCCGUCCCCUUGGACUCCACGGACGCCACGGACACACGCAGCACCGCGCCCCGGGAAGGAGACCGAGAGAGGAGCGAUCACCAGGGAAAAAUCCCUCACGCAAUCUAAUAAAAUCCGCCCUUCGGGGCACUCACCGUGA